CGUGUCCAACUCCUAGCAACCCCAUGGACUGCAGCCUACCAGGCUCCUCCAUCCAUGGGAUUUUCCAGGCAAGAGUCCUAGAGUGGGGUGCCAUUGCCUUCUCCGGUAGAUGGUUGGGUAAGUUGCAAUAUGGCUGUCACCCACUAGCCCUGUGGUGACCUACAAGUAGGAACUUUUAUGUAUUUUGCAAAGAAAACAUAAAUCCCAUGAACCUUUUAGCAUGGCCAAAAGCCAAAUUGUGAAAAACCUUUCAAAUCGACAUCAAAAAACCAUUUCAACACUCUUUUCACAUCAGUCAGUGAAUUAUAAAGGGAGGGGUAUUAACUUUAACAGCCCAGCUUUCCCUUCAUGCACCCCCCCCGCCACCCUACCUCAGACACAUUCAAAAGGCAAGUUCAUGCUAAGAUGCCAUGAUUUUCACAAGGUAAUAAACAAGGGACAAAGUAUCAGGCCACUUCUUGUUUGAAGAAGAGUAACACGGUCCCUAUUGACCCAUUAGCUCCCUUCUCAGUUCAGAUUUCAAAAUGUUUUCUCAAAUGGUCCUGCAUUUGACAUGUGGGAGUAACAUCUGCAGGGAGCGCCUGAGCUUUUGGAGCGAGCAGAAUCUGUCGCAGCAGCAAGCUGACGUCCAGGAUCACUCACAGGAGCUGGGAGCUGGCUAAUGAACAAUGCUCUGCAGUGAUCCACGCCCGCGCUUGCACUCCCCAGGGGCCUCAGGAGCCGUUACUGUAACUGUUUCCCUCUGUCUCUGCAGGAAAAAGACCGAAGUGUGCCUCAGCUCUGGAAAACCAUCCGGAGUCCGGAGUCCAUAUUUAUUUACAGCUUCUAAGAGAAAGAUAUAAAGGAAACGUUGGAGUACUACGCCGAACAUUAACCUGGUUACAAAUUGGGGACUGUCUUCUUUUGGAGGACCAGAUAUAUCUCCUAAAUUCCAUAUGCGUAUUAGGGAUCUGCUGAGAAGGAUUGUGCCGAACCAUGAUCUCAUCACCUUUUCUCAAGGGCCAAGAGUGAAUCUGGGAUUAAGACCGCACCUGUACUUAGCCUGGUCUCACCAUCAUUUGAGGUCUCCUCCCUGGGCCCUUGCCCCCUUAGCCCUCACACACACUGCCCAUCUUGGUCACCUAUUUCCAUCCUCGGGGGUGAAGAUGAUGCUUCAUCUGGCUUUGAGUGUGUACCCACUAAGCAAAACCUCCGGGUCUAGAAACUCUUGAAUACUGACACCAGCUGCAAUCAAUACUCUUCAGACAUUCAAUGCUGGGUCACUGGUUACGCCCCUUCAAGGGCCAGCCCUCCUGCUGGACCAGAACUGGUUUCCUCGCUUUUCCACCACGUAUGCAUUCGCAGGGUCCAGCAUGGCCCCCCGCGCCCCAGUGAUGACAGCUGGACCUUACAAAAUGCAGAGGACAACAAUCAGCUGUGUAGCUGCCAGGUGGAGGAGGACGAGGGCAGCUGCCAGGACAUAUGGUACAAGAGCAUCAGAAAACAGAGGGGGCAGGACGGCUUAAUGCCGUAUGUGCUUCUGGCUCCCUCUUAAGAAUAACUGUCACCUGUGGUUAGGAGAGGAGUGAUACCUGGGGCAGAUGAUGAGUGAUAAGAGGGCACCUCGGUGCUUAAAAGGAAAUUGUCAUACGUUCGAGGAAAUUACUCCAGGGUACUGACAGAGUUUUCAAAUGGGACGAUUUAAUCUUUUUUCAUUUGUAUUAAUAUGUAUUUUUAUUAUAUAAGUAAUACAUUAAUAUAAUGUACUGAUAGUUAUUAUAACAACAUACUAAUGUAUACUGGC